rnacentral:tRNA from 21 species
GGGUUUGUAGCUCAGCUGGUUAGAGCACUGUGUUGAUAACGCAGGGGUCGUAGGUUCGAGUCCUACCAGACCCACCA